GAUGAAGAACGUAGUGAAAUGCGAUACUUGGUGUGAAUUGCAGAAUCCCGUGAACCAUCGAGUCUUUGAACGCAAGUUGCGCCCGAAGCCAUUAGGCCGAGGGCACGCCUGCCUGGGCGUCACACGUCGUUGCCCCCCCAUCUACUCCUUCGGGAUUGCGGGGGGCGGAUGAUGGCCUCUCGUGCGCCUCGUCGCGCGGUUGGCCUAAAUGCCAAGUCCUCGGCGACGCACGCCACGACAAUCGGUGGUUGCGAAACCUCGGUUGCCUGUCGUGUGCGGUCGUCGCGCAUCGAGGGCUCGAAAAAAUUGCCGGGCUUCGGCUCGACUUUCAACGCGACCCCAGGUCAGGCGGGGUUACCCGCUGAAUUUAAGCAUAUCAAUAAGGGAGGA
rnacentral:misc_RNA from 1 species